UACGUAGGGUGCGAGCGUUAAUCGGAAUUACUGGGCGUAAAGAGCGCGCAGGCGGUCGUUCAAGUCGAGUGUGAAAGCCCCCGGCUCAACUGGGGAGGGUCACUCGAUACUGAUCGACUGGAAGGCAGGAGAGGGAAGCGGAAUUCCCGGUGUAGUGGUGAAAUGCGUAGAUAUCGGGAGGAACACCAGUGGCGAAGGCGGCUUCCUGGCCUGUUCUUGACGCUGAGGCGCGAAAGCUAGGGGAGCAAACGGG
rnacentral:rRNA from 1 species